rnacentral:rRNA from 1 species
UACGGGGGGGGCAAGCGUUGUUCGGAAUUACUGGGCGUAAAGGGCUCGUAGGUGGCCAACUAAGUCAGACGUGAAAUCCCUCAGCUUAACUGGGGAACUGCGUCUGAUACUGGAUGGCUUGAGUUUGGGAGAGGGACGCGGAAUUCCAGGUGUAGCGGUGAAAUGCGUAGAUAUCGUAAGGAAGACCAGUGGCGAAGGCGGGUCUCUGGACCAUAACUGACACUGAGGUGCGAAAGUGUGGGGAGCAAACAGG